rnacentral:rRNA from 1 species
ACUCCUACGGGAGGCAGCAGUGGGGAAUAUUGCACAAUGGGCGCAAGCCUGAUGCAGCAACGCCGUGUGAGUGAAGAAGGUUUUCGGAUCGUAAAACUCUGUCCUAAGGGAAGAAACAAAUGACGGUACCUUAGGAGGAAGCCCCGGCUAACUACGUGCCAGCAGCCGCGGUAAUACGUAGGGGGCAAGCGUUAUCCGGAAUCACUGGGCGUAAAGGGUGCGUAGGCGGCUUAGCAAGCCAGGGGUGAAAGGCAUUGGCUCAACCAAUGUAAGCCUUUGGAACUGUUAAGCUUGAGUGCAGGAGAGGUAAGUGGAAUUCCUAGUGUAGAGGUGAAAUUCGUAGAUAUUAGGAGGAACACCAGUGGCGAAGGCGACUUACUGGACUGUAAACUGACGCUGAUGCACGAAAGCGUGGGUAGCGAACAGGAUUAGAUACCCUGGUAGCACAGAG